UACUCUGCACCGACUGGAUGUCCGGCCAAAGGGGGCAUUUGACGAAAACAUCCAACUCAGCGGCGCAAAUGGAGCCAACAGCCGCGUCGAUGGCGUGUUUUUAAACGUGUACCAUGUACUGACAGGAAGCCAAACACGUAUGAACGCACUAUCACUCGUGAGAUAGGAGCCCGGAGGAGUAGGCGGAUCGGACUCCCUCUCGGUAGAUUGGCGUCGUUCCCCCCGCGAUGGAGGCUGCUGCUGACGGGACCCGCCAGGACCACCGCAGUGUCGGCCACCAGACGUCGACGCCUCGUUGACCGACGCAAUUAAGAGCUAGAAAUUGGAAAAACUAUCUCUGCUAAGCGACGACAUCCACAACUUGUUGAUUGGCGUCGAAACGAAAGCGAGAAGUUAACGGGUGAACGUUAGCCCACUUUGGGGCAUGAUGACCAGUGUAGACGUGACCUAAAAGUGCAAGUUCGUGUAACCCCUAACCUGGAGUUGUUCUCGAAAGUUCCUUAUCAUUUGAAAAGUUUUUUUUUUUUUUUUUUUAAGUAAAAAUCGUAUUACGUCCUCCUUUGAUCACCAUGUCAUUCAAAGAGAAUCCCUGUCGGAAAUUCCAAGCCAACAUUUUCAACAAGAACAAAUGUCAGAAUUGUUUUAAACCUCGAGAAUCCCACCUGCUCAACGACGAAGACCUCGGUCAGGCAAAAGCUAUAUAUGGAGGGUGGUUGCUCCUUGCGCCGGAGGGGACCAAUUUUGACAAUCCUUUACACAGAUCUCGGAAAUGGCAAAGGAGGUUUUUCAUCCUUUACGAACAUGGCUUACUUCGCUAUGCUUUGGAUGAAAUGCCCAGUACUCUUCCCCAGGGUACAAUCAAUAUGAACCUGUGUGCCGAUGUCAUUGAUGGAGAGUCCAGGACGGGUCAGAAGAACUCCUUGUGCAUCCUCACUUCUGAAAAUGAGCACUUCAUUCGGGCUGAGUGCAAAGAAAUUAUUAACGGAUGGCAUGAAGCUCUGAGCGUGUACCCCAGAACAAACAAGCAGAAUCAGAAGAAGAAGCGCAAAGUCGAUCCAACAACUCAGCAGUCUUGUUGUGACCUUGCCUCCCAUUAUGUCCUCUCAUCCUCCCUCCCACUCCUUCCGUCCCAAACCCCUAUCCAGGAACCAGGCCCUGCCAAGGUGACAGUGACGAGCAACAGCAGCAGCAGUGGAGGCAGCAACCCGUGUCUGCCCAGCAGCAUCGCAAAUGCAGAGUGUGUCCCGAUGAGCCGUACCACUCUGUGGCAGGAGGAAAACCGCUGGAGUCGGGCUGCCAUCCCUUGUAGUCGUAGUGCUUCUUGUCUCAGCCAACUGGGCCAGAGCCAACCGGACUCCACUGUCACGACUCAAGAUGACGGUGGCACUAUGGGCACAGGACGCAAAGUACGAGUGGAGAGUGGUUACUUUUCCCUGGAGAAGACAAAGUCUGAUCCCUCUCCAAAACCCACUCAGCAUUCCCAACCAGUGCAGCAGCCCCAGCAUCUACCCCUGUCCUCGUCGACAUCUUCCUGUUCUUUAGGAGCAUCCAGUCCCAGGUACAGUUCUGAGCCCGAACCACCGAUUUCCCCCUACCCCCCCUCUCCGGGACCCCUUGCAUCUCCUAGCUACUCCACCAUCAGCUCCUCCCAGAGUUCACUGGACUCUGAACCCAGCAGUAGCGCUACUCCCAACUGGGAGGGCAACAGCGUUAGUGGAGGGAGCACUAGUGUGAAUAGUGCAAGUCGUUCAGGCAGGCAGUAUGCGGCACUUUCGGACGUGCCGCGAGCACGCAGGAUGACCUACCGCGAAGCCUUUCAUUCUAAGAAAAAGCGACAAGAACUCAGAGAACGCACUCGGAGCCCUGGACGGGAAGAGGUGGCACGGCUGUUUGGAGAGGAGCGCAGGCGUUCGCAAGUCAUAGGCCGGUUUGAAGAGAGUCCAAAUGUGGAGCGCAUGGACACGAGUACCUCCGGCGAGCCGUCAUCAAAGGUCAACAAUGUGCAGCGACAAGGUCGCAGUGAGAAACGCUAUCUGGCUGACAAACAUGACAUGUCGUCAUUGGAUGCUGGAAAGGAACACUCGGAUCCAAAUGGGUGCAGCUCAACUUUUGCAAACUUAAGACGAGCCAAAUCACUUGACCGUAGAGUCACCGAGUCUGCGAUGGCUCCGGAUCUGCUGAACUUCAAGAAAGGAUGGAUGACCAAGUUGUAUGAUGACGGAAUGUGGAAGAAACACUGGUUUGUUCUCACAGAUCAGAGUCUACGCUACUACAAGGACUCAAUAGCUGAAGAGGCGGCUGAACUGGAUGGUGAGAUUGAUCUUUCCACAUGUUAUGACGUCAAAGAGUUCCCAGUCCAGAGGAAUUAUGGCUUCCAAAUCCUGUGUAAAGAGGGCGUGUGCACCCUGUCAGCCAUGACCUCUGGUAUCCGCCGCAACUGGAUCCAGGCCAUCAUGAAGAAUGCACGGCCCACCAUCGCCCCUGAUGUCACCCGGAAAAACAUCUCACUGAAACUAUCCGUUCUGAAGCCCAGAUCUGUCGCAGAGGAGAAGAUAACAACGCAGGUCCUGCAGGUCAAGCCUGAGCCAAGCACCUCUUCUGAGCCCCCUAAUUCGGAUGGCCACAAGCAUCCGAACAGUAACGGGGCGUCCUUCCCUUUAUCAGAACCCCGUAAAAGCAGAGUUCGCGAGCGCAGACGGGAGGGCCGCUCAAAGACAUUUGACUGGUCAGAGUUCAAAAUUGAAAAAACGAACAAGCCGGUGAAGGAGCAAACAGACUCUGUCAACCUCAGCUCCUCGUCACUUUCCACCACCGCAUCCUGCUGCUCUGUUACCUCCUCUCCUUCCUCGUCGUCCUCUCCGGUCUCUACCUCGGCCCUGCAAACUCCCAUCGUGUCAGAACCCCACCCUGCCUCGACAGUAGAUGAUAACAUUAGGGGGAGCACCCUGAGCCAUUUGCCAAAUACCACUCUUGUCACUUCCACUUUGAACACGAUAUCUCCCGUGCAGCCAUCCUUACGAGAACGUCAAGAGCAAGGAAGGAUGGAAGUAGAUCACCCGUCAGCCUCGAACAAUGUCGAGGAAGAAAAGUUCACCUUAACGUCAGGCGUGAAGGAGGAGAUUGAACAAAGGUGGCAUCAGGUGGAAACGAUACCACUUAGGGAAGAGAAGCAAGUGCCCAUCAACUCUGCUGCAGAGAGCUCCAACACUGAAAAAUUGCCUGCAAAUGAGCUCGCGGCAAUGCUAGACAAAGAGAAGCUAAAAGAGCUGGAUCAACUUCAGAGACAGAACAGCAUGUUAAAGGAGCAGCUGGAAGAAGCACUAGGAAGAGAACAAAGUGCCAGGGAUGGCUAUAUACUGCAGAGUGCAACAAACCCUGCCUCCUCAACGCACGGAGUACCAUGGCAACACCUGCACAAGCUGAACAAAGACUUGCAUUGUGAAUUAGAAUCCCAAAAGCGCAAGCAAGACCUCGCCCAACAGAAGAUUCUAACACUAAAAAGAAGCUACGCUGAAGCCCAGAAUGCUGUGGAUCGCCAUGAUGCUGAUAUUCAAGCCCUCCAGUCAAAGCUGGCCUCUGCAUUGGCCGAAAUCUUAGCAAGUGAACAAGCUGUAGCCCGCAUGCGCAAUGAACUGAAACUGGAGCAAGCACGUUCAAAGGAGCAAGAAGAGGAAUACGGACGUAGUGAGGCCACUUUACGAGCCCAGCUUAAGGACAGUGAAACUAGACUCCGUGAGGUUGAGGCUAGCCUUUUAGAAAGAAACCAGGCCCUUAGGCACCUGGAGCACCAACAGGCCCUUCAGCGAGACCAUCUCAGAGAGAUCCAGAGGUUACAGGAAAGACUGAAAGAAGUGACUGCACGACUGGUCGCUACAGAAGAAGGUCAGGCACUGAAGGAGGAGCGCUUGAGAAAAGAGCAGCAUAGCAUUCAAGAGAGUCACGAAAGGGAAAGACAAAAUCUGUGCAGAAGAAUAGCCGAAGCCGAGACUGCAAACAAGGAAAUGGAGGACAGACUCCUAAAGACCCAACAGCAGGUGGAGGCCCUGUUAAGAGGGAAGCAGAACUCAACAGGAAUAGAACAUGGUGAGGAAUUGCUGAACUUGAAAGAGGAUCUUGCACAGAAGACAAACAUGUUGGAGUCACUUCGGGAGAGUGUCCGACUGCUUGAAGAAGAGAGAGGUCUGCUCACAUGCCGUUGUCAGGAACUCCUAAACCAGAUUUCAGAGGCAGACCGAGAGGUCAACAAGCUUCGCAAUCGCCUUGAAACGGAAGAGGCAGAUUAUUCCGCUUUGGAAAACUCUUAUGCAAGGGUAACCCAGGAAUUUGAAAGAACGAGCCAGUUCCUCAGAGAGAAAGAGGAUGAGAUUCGUCAUACUAAGGAAAUGUAUGAAAGAUUGAUGGUACGUAAGGAGGAGGACUUGAAAGAGGCUCUUGUUAAAAUGACUGUACUUGGCAAUAGCUUGGAGGAAACCGAACAGAAGCUACAAGCCAAGGAGGGCUUUUUAUGUCAAAUGAGUCAAAAUCGGUCAUAUCAAGUUGAGCCUGGCAGCGCUGAACAAAAACUAAAAGUCAAGCUUGUGGUGGCAGAGAACCGUAUUGUAGAGCUUGAGCAGCACCUUAAUGCACUGCAGCUGGGAUAUGCCGAUCUGCACUUAAGAAGGAAGCAAGUCAAAGAACAGAACAGGCAAGAGUGUGUUAAACCCUCAGCUACUUUCAUUUCAAACGUGGAGUCCCCACUCUCAUUUAACAAUGAUGAGGACUGCACAGAUGAUAAGGAGUCCCAAGCUAAGAGACCAAGAAUCCGUUUUUCCAAUAUUCAGUGCCAAAAAUAUAUGAACCUGAAUGACCUGGGUGAGUGCCAUACCUUUGAUGAUACAAAACAAGAUGUUGACCAGAAAGACCUUGAUCUAGCUGAAGCACUUUCCCCCCCUGAUUUUGCAUUCCCACAAGCCAGUGACUCUGAGAAGUUUAUCUCCAUUGUACAUUCCCUAGAAACUAAACUGCUUGCUACUGAGGAAAAACUAAAAAAUCUCACUCGGAAUCUACAGGACCAACGUUCCUCACAUGCCGAAGACAUGUCAAAGAAAGAUCUGAAGACAGUCGAAAACAAGCCUUUAGGAUGUGACAGUGAGCCUCCGAUAACUGAUGUAAAUAAUCCUUAUGCCAAGGCCCUCCUUUGUGUAGAAGCAUGUCGAGAGAAAGUCAAGGCCAUUCUGUCUCGCUCUCAAGAUAACACUGAUUCACAGCUUCACUCCUUGUCAGAGGUUGAAAAUGAGCUGUUUAGUGCAUCAGUGUAUCUCCGCCAUGGACAAAAGACCUUGGAGGAACAAUCACCAUAUUGUCCUCAACCUCAAAUGUCAGAAUCUUCAGAUGAAGAAAUGAUUCAUCGCUUUGCCAAAACCCUUUCUUUUGAAGCCCUUGUUUUGAAUAAAAUGGCUUUGCUGAUACAGACUCCAGAGUCUGACCUUAUCCAAACACUUAAUGCAAUAUGGGAAGAUAUAGAAAACAUUAAAAGUGGUAACCAAGAUUGUCUAGCAGUAGUUUAUGCAGAUGUCUUAACCAGAAAGUUAAUGUUAGAGAAUGCAUUCUGGAAAAAACUGGAGAAAGAGACGCCUUGCGACAGUUCAAAUGUUGCUAAAAUGCAAGAGGCCAGUGUUGUAGCUGAUGCAGAAAUAAAUACAUCACCAAUACUUAAUACCUUAAUCAAAGCAGAACUGUCAUACUGUAUUCAAAACCUUAAGCUUGACUAUGAAGAGAAAUUCAGGCAACUGAAAGUGGAGUUGGCUGAAGCGCACCACAAACUUUAUCAAAGGGAAAGGGCCUUGAAGUCAAUUAUUGAAGCAUCCAAGAGAUCUGACUUAAAAAGUGUGAUAAAAGAAGUUAAAAGCAACUUUGGCUACACUAAACAAACUUUAGCUGAUAUCUGCCCGCCUGAACUCGCGCCGUACAAAGAGCAGAUCGAAUUGCAAGAAGCCCAAGAUCUGGCUGAAGAAAUAAUCGAGCGGAAUUUGGCAGAGAAAAUACCGUGUUGUGGCAUUGAUUCUUGUGAUUCUCUUCAAAGUGCUCAAUAUAGCUUGGCUGCUGAGCUUCAACAACAGGCAGCAAAACUCCACAAAUAUGCUCAAGAACUACAGAGCACAGGAAACCAUCCAGAACUAGCUAAAAUGCUCAAAGCACUUUUAGGGCCCCAGACAUCGCAUAUUAUCAUGAGUACAUCUGUUUGUCUGCAGGAAGCGCUCAUUCAGGCUCAGGUAGUUUACGUGGCCUGCAGAUUACGAGCCACGCAUGAAAAAAAUUUGGGUUGGUGUAAGCAGAUGCAGCAGAGUAUGGAUGCUCUCAUGCAGCAGCACACCUCCAGUGUGAGGACGAUCCAAGAGAAGUGCGAAGUCUCCCUUGAGGAAGAGCGUCAAAACUUCAAGCAAACUCUCCAGAAUCUCCAGAAGGAGAACAAAACCCUUAAGAGUGAAAUCAGCCAACGUGCCAAACAACUCUUAAAACAGCAAGAACAAGUCGCUCUCUUGGAGGAAGAUUUCCAGUUGCAAAUUAAGGAGCUGAAGCAGAAGCACCAGCAACAAUUGAUCAAAGCUGAGCUAGACCAUUCAGCAGCAGAACAGACCUUCGCGGAGAAGGCGACGGACACCCAGCAACAGCUGAAGGAUUUGCUGGAAGACGUCGACACCAUGCAAGAGCAACAUGCGAGUCGCGUGAGAAAACUCGAGAAAGAAUGUGAGCAACGAAUCGCUCAACUUCAGAGCAUCUACGAGGACGAGAUUGUCAAAUUGCAUUCCCAACACGAGGAAACCAUUCUGAGUAUCCAGGAGCGACAAGCGUACAAAAGAAACAUAGAGGUGGUCUCGGCACCGUUGGAAGAUCAAGACGGGGCGGGGGUUCCACAGACCUUGUCUGAUGGGGACACUACGAUGCUUCUGAAGGACAGAAUCCAGGAACUGGAGACUCAGAUGAAAAGCAUGAGGGACGAACUGGAGAGCAAGCCCCUAGAAGGAGAUGUGGCCAGCCUGAGGGAAAAAUACCAGAGAGACUUUGAAAGUCUUAAGGCCACAUGCGAGCGUGGCUUUGCAGCAAUGGAAGAAACCCACCACAAGGUUGUUGAAGACCUCCAGAGGCAGCAUCAGAGAGAGAUUUCCAAACUUAUGGAGGAGCGAGAGAGGCUUCUUGCUGAGGAGACUGCUGCUACUAUUGCUGCUAUUGAAGCUAUGAAGAAUGCACACAAGGAGGAAAUGGAGAAGAACCAACGUUCCCAGCUCAGUGGACUGAACUCUGACAUUGAUGAACUUCGAUUACAAUACGAUGAGGAGCUGCAGUCCAUUCAGAGGGAGCUGGAGGUUUUGUCCGAGCAGUAUUCUCAGAAAUGCCUGGAAAACGCCCACCUGGCUCAGGCCCUGGAGGCCGAGAGGCAGGCCCUCAGACAGUGUCAGCGAGAGAACCAGGAGCUCAACACUCACAACCAGGAAUUAAACAACCGUCUGAGUGCAGAGAUCACACGGAUGCGGUCCUGUUUCAGAAAGGAGACUGCGCGAUCGUCUGUUACGCAAGGCAAAGAUGUUUAUGAACUGGAGGUUCUGCUUCGAAUCAAGGAGUCAGAGAUUCAAUAUCUUAAACAGGAAAUCCACUCUUUGAAGGAUGAGUUGCAGUCUGCUCUUAGGGACAAGAAGUAUGCCACGGACAAAUAUAAAGACAUCUACACCGAGCUGAGCAUUGUGAAAGCGAAGGCUGACUGUGAUAUUGGCAAACUGAAGGAAAAGCUGCUCAUCGCUAGUGAAACGUCAGGCGAGAGUUCCGUCGAUGGGACAGUUAAGUCUGGAUAUGACAUCAUGAAAUCCAAAAGUAACCCUGACUUCACAAAAACAGAACAACCAGGAACCUCCAAGCCACCCCGAGGUCUCAGAUCAAAGUCUGUCACUGAACAGGUCUCAUGGGACAGCUGACACCCCCUUUGUGGCUCUUUAGCCCUCCCCCCAAACCCGCCCGAGAUGCGCCGUAGAGCCUGAAAGAGGGAUUGACCGUGCAAGAGCGCAUGAAGCUGUUUGAGGCAAAAGAUUCCAAAUAGAUCUGAAUGUCAACAACCCUGGAGCUUCACUUCUCACUUGCCUUUUUCACCCUAAUUGUGUUACUAUUAUUAUUUUUAUUUUUUGCUAAGACGGCACGCUUAUAGAACAGCUAGGAUCAAAUGGUCCAAACAAGACCUUCCGCUUCCUUGGAACACAGGUUUUUGCAUGUUUAAUUAACAGAAAUGGACUUAGUUGGACGAGUAUUGACAUUUCAUAGAAAAAGAAGGAAAAAUGGUAUUUAAUGUAUUGUUAAAGUUGGAGAUGUGUAAAAUAAGCUGUGAGAGGAUACAUAACAGCGUUUUGAAUUAUCUUCCCAAAUGCCAAAAUAGAUAACACACACAGUCUAAAUAAUAUAUAUAUAUAUAUAUUCCCUUAUAUUAAAUAUUUGUCUGCUGUAUUUUACUAUUGUUACAAUUUCUAUACCCAAAUGUUUUUGAUGUUUCGUGUACAUAACUACUGGACAUACAGUAUGUAAGUGCAUGGUUUGUUAUUGAGUGUUGGGGCAUCUGCUGUACUAUAAAAUUAAGUUUGACUGAUGGAAUUUAUUAUGCUUAUGUACGUUUUUUUUAAUUUUUAAAUCAUGUCUGUGUGUUGCAGAGGGAAAGGUUGGGGAUUGCACUUAUAACUUGACUACUUGAGGAACCUUUAAUUGUCUCCAGUCAAUGUCGUGAGUUUCGAUUAUUGCAGUGCAACCAAAUGUGGUGAUUGGCUGAUACUUCAAUCUGGCAUUCGUCUUUAUUACCUUUUUUUUUUUUUUUUUUUUUUUGUGAUGAACACACUUAAGGACUUGGCAUGAUUAUAUUGUCUUUUACAAAAUUUGCCUCGUUUUUGCUAUUUUAAAUGCUCCUAAAUACGCAACUUGCUUCACCUUUACUGUGAGUGGCAAUUCCCCCAAAGCACUUGACCCCUGACCUCUCGCUUCCGUUCUAGUUGCGCCUCAACCCAGUGAAGAACACAAACCACUUAUAUUAAAAUCGAUUUACUAUAACCUGUGCAGCUAUGGAAACACACUGUAUAGUUUUCAAAACCCUUUGGAAAUGUACAUAUAUAUAUUAUAUAUGUGCCACAUGGAACACUUGUGCUCUUGUUUUAAACUUCACUCAUUAGCUCUAUAUGAAAUAUAUAUGAUUUUUUUUAAUGUAUAAAAUGAAAUAAAUGGAAAAUAUGACAAUGUCAGCUGUAAUCUUUUCACUGAUUUCUGACUUACUUCAUUGAGAUUGCCCAAUUUACACCCUCAAGCACUUAAAAGGAUGGAUCAAUGUUAAAUAUUUGAAUGCUGUCCACAAGAUGGCGUUAUCAGCAUGCUUUCUGGAUUCAUUUGAGGAAGAAUGUAAACUAUACUUCGUGCCAAAAUUAAAAAAUAAACGAAUAAAUAAAUACAAAGAGAAAUAAAUCAAAAUGUAAAAGUAUAUUUUGCCAUUGACUUUUACUUGUUGUUGUUUACUCAUUGAAAAUCCUAAACGGAAAAAAGUGACAAUUUUUGUCACUGACUUAUACUUUUUGUCAUUGAAAAACAAAUGAAAGAACUGGCAAUUUUGUCGUUGACUUUUUUUGUCAUUGAAAAACACAAACGGAAAAAACAAUGGCAAUUUUUUCAUUGCCUUUGCCUUUUCUAUUUCGCUUUGCCUUUGCUUUUACCGAUGGAAUGGUCUGUCAAACAAAUUGCCGUUUGGGAGGGGCUUUCCAAACAGGAAAGGGUUAGUUCGGGGUCAGCAACCUGCGGCCCUAGUGCAGAAUGCGGCUCUUCAGCGCUUCCUUAGUGGCUCCCUGGAGCUUUUUUGUUUGUUUGUUUGUUGUUGUUUUUUUACAUGUUAGAAAAAGGAAAAAGAAUGGGGAGGGAAUACAUUUUUGUUGUAAUAUUGUUUCUGUAGGAGGACAAACAUGAAAAACAUUCUUCUAAUUUAUUAACACUGUAAUGAAGUUAAACUUGAGGCGCCAUCGUACAAGAGAGGAGUCACGUGGUGCGUCAUUCUUUAUAGAAAGCACUGCAGCGAAAAUACAUUUAAUCAUGAAGGCUCAUUAUGUAUUUGUACCCAACUUUUCGUCAUUUUAAUAGUAGGCUAAUAUAGCUACAUAUAGCUAGUGUUGCCUUCAUUAUAAGGCUUAUAUAAGGCUUUUAA